UACGUAGGGUCCAAGCGUUAUCCGGAAUUACUGGGUAUAAAGGGUGCGCAGGCGGCCUAGUGCGUCUGGGGUUAAAGAUCACGGCUCAACCGUGGGAAUGCCUCAGAAACGGCAAGGCUUGAAUAUGAGAGAGGUAAGUGGAAUUCCUGGUGUAGCGGUGAAAUGCGUAGAUAUCAGGAGGAACACCAGUGGCGAAGGCGGCUUACUGGCUCAUUAUUGACGCUCAGGCACGAAAGCGUGGGUAGCAAAC
rnacentral:rRNA from 1 species